rnacentral:sRNA from 1 species
AAUUUAUUUGAUUAACAUCACACACAUAUCGACACGUGCUCCGGGGUGCCUGUGAAGCUGUGAAAACAGCAACAUAUGGGUCGGAUUCAUGGGAUAUGUGGAGGCCUAAC